AGUGAACGCUGGCGGUAGGCCUAACACAUGCAAGUCGAACGGCAGCACAGGAGAGCUUGCUCUCUGGGUGGCGAGUGGCGGACGGGUGAGGAAUACAUCGGAAUCUACCUUUUCGUGGGGGAUAACGUAGGGAAACUUACGCUAAUACCGCAUACGACCUACGGGUGAAAGUGGGGGACCGCAAGGCCUCACGCGAUUAGAUGAGCCGACGUCCGAUUAGCUAGUUGGCGGGGUAAUGGCCCACCAAGGCGACGAUCGGUAGCUGGUCUGAGGGGAUGAUCAGCCACACUGGAACGGAGACACGGUCCAGACUCCUACGGGAGGCAGCAGUGGGGAAUAUUGGACAAUGGGCGCAAGCCUGAUCCAGCCAUACCGCGUGGGUGAAGAAGGCCUUCGGGUUGUAAAGCCCUUUUGUUGGGAAAGAAAUCCUGUCGAUUAAUACUCGGUGGGGAUGACGGUACCCAAAGAAUAAGCACCGGCUAACUUCGUGCCAGCAGCCGCCGUAAAAC
rnacentral:rRNA from 1 species